rnacentral:rRNA from 1 species
AGAGUUUGAUCCUGGCUCAGGAUGAACGCUAGCGGCAGGCCUAAUACAUGCAAGUCGUACGGCAGCACAGUUGCGAGCAAUCGCAACCGGUGGCGAGUGGCGCACGGGUGAGUAACGCGUAUGUAACCUACCCUUCUCCAGGACAUAACUCCGCGAAAGCGGUGCUAAUAUCCCAUAUCAACACUUGAAGACAUCUUCUUGUGUUGAAAGUAGCAAUGCGGUGAAGGAUGGGCAUGCGUCCCAUUAGCUGGUUGGUGAGGUAAUGGCCCACCAAGGCUACGAUGGGUAGGGGUUCUGAGAGGAAAGUCCCCCACACUGGUACUGAGACACGGACCAGACUCCUACGGGAGGCAGCAGUAAGGAAUAUUGGGCAAUGGUCGAAAGACUGACCCAGCCAUGCCGCGUGCAGGAUGAAGGCCCUAUGGGUUGUAAACUGCUUUUAGCCGGGAAUAAUUACCCGUUCUCUAACGGGCUUGAAGGUACCGGCUGAAUAAGCAUCGGCUAACUCCGUGCCAGCAGCCGCGGUAAUACGGAGGAUGCAAGCGUUAUCCGGAUUCACUGGGUUUAAAGGGUGCGCAGGCGGACAUUUAAGUCAGGGGUGAAAUCCUACAGCUUAACUGUAGAACUGCCCUUGAUACUGAAUGCCUAGAGUAAAGU